UCAUAAAUGUUCAGUUCUCGUUUUGGUCUUAACGGAGCCACAUCUCCUUAAUAAUAUCGAAUAAAAAUUUUCAAUUUUUGUGCAGUAAAAAUGUUUACACACUUUUACACUAGUUAGGGCUACUUCUUAUAAGAGGUUUACACGUUUCAUACAAAACACAUUGCAAAACAGGUGAGUGGGCGAUGACCAGCUGCCAUAUAUUUUAUUGCUUUCAAGGAAUCAAAAGGACAGAAUGUCGUCGUGAUUUGGGACCAUGACGACUUCGUUACACGACAAAACGCAAACACACACUCAUUCAAAGCUGCUACAAGGUUGGUAUCUACGAUUAUGGAACCUUCAGGCUUAUUUCGACAAACUUACAAUCACACAUCUGCCAAUCUCAUUCUUCUGCAAUCCGAUCUAAGCUAAUACAAGUUAUUCUAACACAUUUCAUAGCAUUACAAAAUCGACGAAUGGAAGUUCGCCAGCUGCCAUCCAUUUGAUUGCUUUCAAGGAAUCAAAAGGACAGAAUGUCGUCGUGAUUUGGGACCAUGACGACUUCGUCAUGCAAACACACACUCAUUCAAAGCUGCUAGAAGGUUGGUAUCUACGAUUAUGGAACCUGUAAGGGAUUAACCUCAAGUUUCCCUACCGUGCAGCUUACAUGGAGCUGGGCGAUUCCAUUCCGAUUUUGUAAAGCAUCAGCAUAUUGAAUAUAUCGAUUUAUACAAUCGCACCUUUUUCGUACACAUUAAUAAUUGUUAGAAGCUACACUAUCCACUACUAUUAAUGUUAAGUAAAUAACCAAAUUGGGUCGCACUGUA